CUGAGGAAUUCUAGUCUUCGGAUUAGAGCCGGGUUGGGUUAAAGGAAGCUUCUAAUCAGAAUGUCUACAUUUUAAGAUUAGAUCUCAAAUCAGGUAGGACUACCCGCUGAACUUAAGCAUAUCAAUAAGCGGAGGAAAAGAAACUAACAAGGAUUCCCCUAGUAGCGGCGAGCGAAGCGGGAAGAGCUCAAAUUUAUAAUCUGGCACCUUCGGUGUCCGAGUUGUAAUCUCUAGAAAUGUUUUCCGCGUUGGACCGCACACAAGUCUGUUGGAAUACAGCGGCAUAGUGGUGAGACCCCCGUAUAUGGUGCGGACGCCCAGCGCUUUGUGAUACAUUUUCGAAGAGUCGAGUUGUUUGGGAAUGCAGCUCAAAUUGGGUGGUAAAUUCCAUCUAAAGCUAAAUAUUGGCGAGAGACCGAUAGCGAACAAGUACCGUGAGGGAAAGAUGAAAAGCACUUUGGAAAGAGAGUUAACAGUACGUGAAAUUGUUGGAAGGGAAACGCUUGAAGUCAGACUUGCUUGCUGAGCAAUCGGUUUGCAGGCCAGCAUCAGUUUUCCGGGAUGGAUAAUGGUAGAGAGAAGGUAGCAGUUUCGGCUGUGUUAUAGCUCUCUGCUGGAUACAUCUUGGGGGACUGAGGAACGCAGUGUGCCUUUGGCGGGGGUU
rnacentral:rRNA from 1 species